rnacentral:snoRNA from 1 species
CUCCUCUCAAGAUCAUACCUGCAGUGUUUCCAGUACUCUACCAGUCUCAGUUAAGGGAGGGAGAGUCAAGCAGAGGCCUACCCAUUCCAUUCCUAGCUUGCACAGUGGCUAGCGAGUGGCAGGCAAUCUGCUACAAGU